CUACGUGCCAGCAGCCGCGGUAAUACGUAGGUCCCGAGCGUUGUCCGGAUUUAUUGGGCGUAAAGCGAGCGCAGGCGGUUAGAUAAGUCUGAAGUUAAAGGCUGUGGCUUAACCAUAGUAUGCUUUGGAAACUGUUUAACUUGAGUGCAGAAGGGGAGAGUGGAAUUCCAUGUGUAGCGGUGAAAUGCGUAGAUAUAUGGAGGAACACCGGUGGCGAAAGCGGCUCUCUGGUCUGUAACUGACGCUGAGGCUCGAAAGCGUGGGGAGCAAACAGGAUUAGAUACCCUGGUAGUCCACGCCGUAAACGAUGUCUACCAGUCGUUGGGUCUCUUGAAGACUUAGUGACGCAGUUAACGCGAUAAGUAGACCGCCUGGGGAGUACGGCCGCAAGGUUAAAACUCAAAUGAAUUGACGGGGGCCCGCACAAGCGGUGGAGUAUGUGGUUUAAUUCGACGCAACGCGAAGAACCUUACCAGGUCUUGACAU
rnacentral:rRNA from 1 species